rnacentral:lncRNA from 1 species
AUGUCUAUGCAGAAAAGAGACAUGUGUAAUUAGCCUAUCUUAGACCACUAAGAAUUUCAAUAGAAGAUUCUAUUCUUGCCCUGAAAGAGUGGUAUGAAGAUAAACUGUUAUGCCUUUACAUAUUAGCUUAGAUAGCAAUUGAUAUAUUAACAAUUUUGUUUGUUUAUUUUAAGAUAAUAAAUAUGAUUAUUUUGCUUGGUGCG